rnacentral:rRNA from 1 species
AGCGCCGAAUUUGCUAACAAGGUUGGUCGAUUUUUUCAAGCCGUCGCGCAGUGUACCUAGAAGUACGCGAGCAACGGAAGUUAAAAAAUCGGGCAAGAUUGAACGCAAAGGCAAGCGGGACAUUUGAGGAUGGGGUGACUGCGUACCUUUUGUAUAAUGGGUCAGCGACUUAUAUUCUGUAGCAAGGUUAACCGUAUAGGGGAGCCG